CAGUAGAACAGUAAUAUAACUUGCCCAUGCAUGACCAAUGAUUGAAUAAUUAGUAUUAGGGUGUCUCUAUCAAAGGAAUCUUUUACACGAUAGAUUUGGCACAAUUAUCGUUUUAGUUAUAUGAUCGUCAUAAGUUAAAUGAGAGUCAAGAGUGACUCCCAAGUCACUGGCCGAAACAGCAGGUCUCAUAAGUUGUCUUUGAUCGAAAUGUAUACGUUGUCCAAAGAAACCUAGCUGUGAUAUAAUGUAAAACCUCAACUUUUAAUGUUUUAUUAUGUGUACAAAUACUGAUAAUUAAAGGGUAUGGUAUUAGUACUUAAACCACAGAAUAAAGAUCCAUACAGAAGGGCCACUUACGUCUGAAUCUUUGAAGUUUCUGUCCUCGCGCAUGUCGCAUUACGCAUGUUGGCCGCCAUUUUCCUAGCCAGUCAUUGACAUUUUCCGGCCAAUAAACACGCUGUACUGGCUGGCUGCUCCGCCUUCUGGCCAGUAAACUACAUAUUUUUGUAUAAAAAACGAGGACGCGUUGCGCUGCUGAGUGGCCCUUCUGUUGGUCUUUAUUCUGUGCUUAAACUGUAAAAUAAGUCAGCUUGCAAAAUUCUUAUAUUUUUCUUUCGUUAGAUAUUUCAGUUAAUUUAACAUGGAAAUAAGAUGACGUCACAAGCUGGGUUAAAUUUUUGACAGUCCACAGGACUCCAUUAAAAACUUCAUAUUUUUGUAUGCCAGAUUGGUCAAUGGAUCAUCGAUACAGACUUAAAUCAUUUCAUCUAUUUUGAAUAGUGAGCUUUUAUGACUUUGGCGGGACUGGCAUUUUAAGCUAGUCUGUUACCAUCAUCAACCUUGUAACAAGAUGAUAACAACUUCUUCCAGACUUGAUUGGUCAAUGGAAUCAUCGAUACAGACUUAAAUUAUUUCAUUUGUUUUGAAUAACAGAUGUUUUGAAUAGUGAGCUUUUAUAAAUUUGAUGCCGGUGACUGGCAUUCUUUAAAAAUAUUUUACCAGCUUGUGACGUCUUUGCAAAUUUGCAUAUUAAACAACCUCAAAUAUCUCAACAAGGAAAAUGAUAAAAUACGGAGUUCUUUCUUGCAAAAACAGACAUGAACAUCAUUGCCCAUACCCUUUAAAUAUUUUCUGUAUAUGACUAUAUACUGUAGUACUCGGUCUUUGUGCUAAGCGGUAAAAUUUUGCUUGUAAAAUUUAUUCCUGCUUCGCUCGUGUAAAGUGGAAAAAAAAUUCAACGGCGAUUGACCUAAGAACAACUUUAUAUAUAUACAGUUGUGCACUAGGAUGACAACAAGAAACAAAACAAACAUAAAACGUAUGCAUACAAUUAUUCCUUUCUGAUUCAUUCAUGUAAUACUUGCGUUCAUUUUUUCUUUUUGGUUUUUUUCGGCGCUGGCUUAAUGACUCCCACAACUUCUGCGUAUUCAGUAGGUUGGCCUGAUUGAGCCUGGCUUUCAUUUCCGUCUUGACUGCCAGAAACCAACCGUGAAGGAUCCAUGUAGUUUAAACCAUUAAUCUGUAUAG